rnacentral:rRNA from 1 species
UUGAGCGGAGAUAUAUGGAGCUUGCUUUAUAUAACUUAGCAGCGAACGGGUGAGUAACACGUAGAUAAUCUAUCCUAUACUGGGGGAUAGCCCGAUGAAAGUUGGAUUAAUACCGCAUAUAGCUAUAUAGUUGCAUGAUUAUGUAGUGAAAGAUUUAUUGGUAUAGGAGGAGUCUGCGGCACAUUAGCUAGUAGGUGAGGUAAAGGCUUACCUAGGCGACGAUGUGUAGCCGGUCUGAGAGGAUGAACGGCCACAAUGGAACUGAGACACGGUCCAUACUCCUACGGGAGGCAGCAGUGGGGAAUAUUGCACAAUGGGGGAAACCCUGAUGCAGCAACGCCGCGUGAGUGAAGAAGGUUUUCGGAUUGUAAAGCUCUGUUAGCAGGGAAGAGGAAGGACGGUACCUGCAGAGGAAGCCACGGCUAACUACGUGCCAGCAGCCGCGGUAAUACGUAGGUGGCAAGCGUUGUUCGGAAUAACUGGGCGUAAAGGAUGCGUAGGCGGUUAAACAAGUUAUAUGUUAAAUAUAUAGGCUUAACCUGUAGAAAGCAUAUAAAACUGUUUAACUAGAGUGCAGGAGAGGUAAGUGGAAUUCCUAGUGUAGCGGUGUAAUGCGUAGAGAUUAGGAAGAACACCAGUGGCGAAGGCGACUUACUGGACUGUAACUGACGCUGAGGCAUGAGAGCAUGGGGAGCAAACAGGAUUAGAUACCCUGGUAGUCCAUGCUGUAAACGAUGGGUACUAGGUGUGGGUUGUGAAUAACA